rnacentral:lncRNA from 1 species
CUCAAUGCAACCUCUGCCUCCCAGGUUCCGGUGAUUCUCCUAUCUCAGCCUCCCGAGUAGCUGGGACUACAGCUGUGCACCACCAUGCCCAGCUAAUUUUGUAUUUUUAGUAGAGACGGGUUUUCACCAUAUUGGCCAGGAUGGUCUCGGUCUCCUGACCUCAUGAUCCACCCGCCUCGGCCUCCCAAAGUGCUGGGAUUACAGGCGUGAGCCGCCGCAUCCAGCCAUAUCUGUGUAAUAUUUUAUAAACAGGUUCUACUCAAAAAGUUGAAAACACUAACAUUAACAUAGCAUGUCUGGAUCAUUGUUAUGGGUGAAUUUUAGUAGUCUGUAGAUUUCUCGAAGAAAUUUAAAUCUAAAUCUUCUUCCUGGAAAUUUACCUCAUAGUUAAAUAAGUGACUUGUCUAUACUAUUCUCUUUAGGGAAUAAUCCUUCUUAAUGGUGUGACAUGGGCUAGGGCGUUUGCUCUUCAAAGCAGCUGCUGCACUCACUAUCAUUUUUCAAGGCAUUGCUUCUUUCUCUCCCAGUCACACAUGACUAAGACUUCAUUGAAAUGGUCAGAGCAUAAUGUCCCUAAGAAUUGUUUUCAUCUUGUAAUUUCAUAUGUCUUUCCCCAAAAAGAUUUAUUUAAUCAUUUGAAAGAACAAUUAGUCAAUAGAGUAGGGAAGUAUGUAACUUUCAGAAUAUUCAAAUAAGUGAGUCAAAUGCAAUAAAAGAUGUGAAAUAACUAUAAAGACAGAAAACCACUGUAAAAACAAAUGGAAUUAUUUUCAUUAUCAAUGUAUUAAUAUUGAAAUUGAUAAUAUUUAAUAGCAUGGUAAACACUUGGCUAUGCUUUUCUUUUUGGGGACAAUUGUAAAAGCUAAGAAAGUAAUUAUGAAUAUUUUUAUAUAAUCAUUGCAGUAUUUCUAAUUAAUGCCCUUUUUACCAUACAUGGAGAAUGAAUUCAGAGAAGUAAGAUCUUAUUUUGUUUUUAACCCUCAGGAUAAUAUGAAGUUUAUAUUGCCAUUGAAGAGGCAGAGAGGAGCUGCAGCAUGUAUUCACAACUGAGAACUUGUCCUGUGAAGGAAGAAAACAAUGCCCCUUGGAGCAAAGAAUUAAGAGAUGACUUAUAUUUGAAAAACCACCCACAGCUGCAUGUUGAUGUGUGAGAGCAACUACCUGCUAAGAAGUUCUUUAAAAGGAGUGAGAAAACUUACAUUGAAAGAAGUGUAAUAUUUCAGUCACCAGCUGGAAAAUGUGGAGCUGAAACCUUGUAUGUGUCACCCCUGCCACAGAGACAAGGAAGGAGAUCACACUAUUUCCUUGCCAGAAUCGUCACCAUGGAUAACCCAGGGGUAGAAGACGGAGUAUCUAUUAUUAUUAUUCGCAGCAGCAGACACUAUAUAGAUGCUGUCAGGGACCACUGGCUCACCUUCACCCUUCCUGCCUAUCCUUGAGAUAUAAAUCUCCCCUAGAUUCAAACACCAUUCCCUGAAGACGGAGAAGACAGUAGACUCUUGAAUUGACAAUAUUUUAACCUACACUGACUUGGAAAAUUACUAGGGUGGACUGAACAAACUACCCACUUUUUGGCAGGCUC